GCCAGCCCGAAGCGGCGGGAACGUCCGGCUCUGGACUCUCAGCCGCCACGGCAUCCACUGCCGCCACCGCGGGGGAGGCUACUGCGCAUGUCUGGAGGCGCUCAGAGGCCCGCAGAGUGGAUCGGGAAAGCUUUUCCGGGUUUUACGAGCCGUCGCCUCCCCUUGGCUCCCCGUUACCGCCCGGUCCCCUCCUCUUCUGAGAAGCCAGAGCAUUUGAACCGCUUCCAGGUCACCUCCAAAAUGCGGAGAAGUGGAUUUUCAUUCCUGCGGGGCUGCAGCGUGACCCUGGUGGAGAAAGAGAAGUUUGUCUCCCCGAAAGCCCCUGUGUGCUCAUCUUUAUCUCCCGCCUUCCCCCAUGUCUGCUGUCAAGGUGUUCUGCUGUUCUUUACUGUGGAUAUCUGUUGGCUGUUCUAUGGUGUUGCUGUUCUCACCCCGUCAGAUGCCUGGUGGCUUCUCUCUGUUUCCUCCUGCAAAGAUGUCAAUACCAUACAGCUGUAA
rnacentral:lncRNA from 1 species